rnacentral:rRNA from 1 species
CACGUAGGCGGCUCAUCAAGCGUCUUGUGAAAUUCCCCGGCUCAACCGGGGAAUUGCUGGGCGAACUGAUGGGCUUGAGACAGGCAGGGGCGAGUGGAACUCUUGGUGGAGCGGUGGAAUGCGUAGAUAUCAAGAGGAACACCGGUGGCGAAGGCGGCUUUCUGGACAGUAACUGACGCUGAGACGCGAAAGCGUGGGGAGCAAACAGGAUUAGAUACCCUGGUAGUCC